GCAUACGAUCUUACCUCGGCAUCGAGGAUAGAUGAAAGGUGGCCUCUACAUGUAAGCUAUCACUGAAGGAGGGGAUUGCGUCUGAUUAGCUAGUUGGAGGGGUAACGGCCCACCAAGGCGAUGAUCAGUAGCCGGUCUGAGAGGAUGAACGGCCACAUUGGGACUGAGACACGGCCCAGACUCCUACGGGAGGCAGCAGUGGGGAAUCUUCCGCAAUGGACGAAAGUCUGACGGAGCAACGCCGCGUGAGUGAUGACGGCCUUCGGGUUGUAAAGCUCUGUUAAUCGGGACGAAAGGCCUUCUUGCGAAUAGUGAGAAGGAUUGACGGUACCGGAAUAGAAA
rnacentral:rRNA from 1 species